ensembl:lncRNA
UGCGGCAUUUUUUUCCUAUUGUAACCUGGCGUCAGGGUCUGGACAAAGAUGGGAACCAUUGUUCUGUGGCGCUUACUCCAACCUGUGAUGGUGGAUUACCAGGGACAGUGGCAAGGAGGCCUAUGGACCUUGCUUAAAAGGGUGAAUCUUCAGGGUUUCUGUGCUAGUCAAUCUCUGUUUUCUCUCUCUGUUCUUUGUCACAAGGGUAGAAAGAAAUGUUCCAAUAAGCAUUUUCAGGUUGCUCUAGGGCUGCAAAGUGCUUUAUAAAGGAAGCCAGUACCCUUAACUCUGCUUACAUAGAGGGCAACUGAGGCAAGGGAGGCAACAGGAGUGAUGUAGCAUCACCAGUUGUCUGUCAGGAGCAGAGCUUUUGUGCUCCACAACACUGCACCGUGCACAAGGCUGGGCUGCGUCCGUACCUAGCAAGGUCUAGCCAUAGAGCUCAGAAGCUAUUUGCAGUCCAUAAUGCCCUCAGAGCCAAAAGAAGUCUCUGCAGCAGAAAGAGUGUGUCCCAGAGCCAACUAAGAAAAACUGUUCAUUGCUGCAGCCACCUUUUCACUUCUAAGUCUUCUAUACUGUGUGAACUGGAGGUUCACAUGGUCCCUCACAUGGCACGCUAUAUAGUUAGGAUCCUUGGGGCUUUCAUUCUGCAGAAUCUCUGUGUUUCAGAAGGAGGAAAGCAUAGCCUUUUCAUCCUGAAGUGUGUAAGUAAAUAAUUCUCACUGCAAUUUUUUUCCCUUCUACUUGUCCUAAUCCAUUUUAUGCAGAAUUCUUUAGGGCCUCCCCCUAUGCCCUUCAGAACAGCGACCCCAGUCUCUCUUGGUAUCAUCAGGCCAUUUGAGCCGCUUAGUACAUUGUGCUUUUCUUAGCUGGAGGCAGUGUCCUCUUAUUUUUUACACUAUAGCCAGAGAUGAAGCUGAAAGCACAAGGACUGACACUAAGCUAAAUGGAUACUGGCACUUAAAUGAACAAUGAGCAUAUCAUCAAUAAGUUAACAACGGAUUAUUAUGACGAUCAUUAAAUAUAUCGAUUCCUGUAGCCUCUUAACAAUUCGUUCUGCAGAUUUUCUUCCUGAGAACAGUCUCAAGUAGUAACAGUGGCCAUCUCACUGCAGUUAGUAGAACAGUCAUUCAAUAUAUAGCAUAAGCCGUACAGUGAUGCAUGUCUUUGGCAUACACUGUUUUAUGCCAGCAUAAAGGAAAACAAACCCAACUCCUGCUCUUAGAGAAAAAUCUCCCCAACAAUAAAGGUAUACAUUAGUCCCAAACCUGCAAAUGCUUUCCUAAUACAGUGCUCGGAGAGACUCCAAAAAGUACUGGUUCAAACUUACCUUUAGUUUCCAGCCGACCUCCCCAAAGACAAAUUUUGAUCUGUUUCUGGAGGAGACCAAUUUAUAGCUCCUGUGGACCAAUUGCUGCGAUGGGAAUGCUUUGCCUCAUACUGGGAGUUUGCCGUUUCCUGCUCUCCCUUGUGCAGAAGGAUGUGACACACUGGAAAGUGACCUGCGGGACAGCGAGCACACAUCAUGUUCAGGAAACGAUCCCUGCGAAUGAACAUUGUGUGUUCGCUUUUCCUGAAGUGUAGGGGGA